GGGGACCCGAGCGCCCCGCCUGUGCAGGGCUUACCUCCCAGUCCUCCAGGUGCUGCACAGCCACGAACAGGCAGCCUGUGACGUAGAAGAGCUUCCAGCCCAGACCAUCUGGGGGCAGACACGGGGCGCAGCCAGGCUCCGGAGCCGACUGGGGAACCAGAGGAGCCCGAGGUGCGUUUAGCCCAACAGCAAACUGUGUGGGAUGAACCCAAGACCGUGCACAGAAUCACCACAGGGCACGCCAGGUGAACCGAGCAGGAGGCCGCUGCGGCGUCCUGGGAAGGACCAGAGCCUACUGAUAAAGGGAAGCAAGCCUUGGACGGGCAGGGACAAGGACAGAAGGGAAAAGGAAUGCACUGUUCCCCCUCACGCGGGCCUGCAACAUACAGAGACCUCAGAAGAGCAUGCAGAGUACUGACAAGAUGUUAAACGGUGAAAAACGACAAGGCAGGAUCCUCUGAAUGCGCACACAGAAUAAAAGCUGGAAGGAUACUAAGGA